rnacentral:lncRNA from 1 species
UGCUCAGAACGCUGGCUUCUGCCCCGCUGGGGUUUCAGGGCUCUCAGUCCUCUUCCUGUGCACCCGGAGGCGGUGGGUCAGCAGGGCUGUGCUAACAGGAAGGCCUGUGAUGUUUGCAAUCAAGCCAUUAUGAAGUCAAGAAUGGAGCUUCCAUUUUUAAAGAAUUCAGAGGGGGCAGAUCUUGAUUGACAUCUCAUCUGGGGUCACCUGGUCUUCAAUUGAGAGAUCUUUUGGUUCGCCAUGGAUGCCUCUUGCAGUUAUGGAAGAAAAACCAGGCACAGGGAGUAACUGAGCUCAUUGAAUUAUUUGCUAAGUGGAAGCAAAGCAGUUCUUCAGUCAUGACAGACAAGAUGCCUAUGGAGAUGAUCUGGCUGAACUCUUUAUUGGAAACCAUUUGAAAUUUCUUUGCUUUCCUAAAGCCCCAGAUAUGCAAUACUGCCCUCUGAAAAGCAGG